UAUCUCCCCUGCACCAGCCAGGAGCCACCCAUCCUCCAGCACACUGAGCAGCAAGCUGGACACACGGCACACUGAUCCAAAUGGAGCAUGUCCUUUGCAACCUGAUCACACAAAUGAUGAAAAAGAAUAGAACUUUCUCAUUCAUCUUUGAAUAACGUCUCCUUGUUUACCCUGGUAUUCUAGAAUGUUACAAGAUGUUCACCUAAGAUUGAGACCUAGUGACUACAUUUCCUACGGGAACAAAUAAAUGGUUUUUCAUCUCCCGGAGAUACAUUACAAACAAAUAUGGUGCUAAAAGAACUCCUUACCUUUCUCUGACUACAAUUUAUUUGGACAUACUUUUGUAUUGAAGAGAGGUAUACAUACUGAAGCUACUUGCUGUACUAUAGGAGACUCUGUCCUGUAGGAUCAUGGACCAUCCUAGUAGGGAAAAGGAUGAAAGACAACGGACAACUAAACCCAUGGCACAAAGGAGUGCACACUGCUCUCGACCAUCUGGCUCCUCAUCGUCCUCUGGGGUUCUUAUGGUGGGACCCAACUUCAGGGUUGGCAAGAAGAUAGGAUGUGGGAACUUCGGAGAGCUCAGAUUAGGUAA
rnacentral:lncRNA from 1 species